AUUAGAUACUGUAUUUAUACUAAUGUCACUGCUUGCCAUUAGACUUUUUUCUUGCAUUGUAUUUACAUCUGUGUUUCUUAGCUAUUAGAACUAUACUCUUUAUGAAAUUCAGGAUAAUCCAUGAUACUCCAUUUGGAGUAAUGCCCUUCCAUUUUCUAGACAUACAGAAGGAAAACCCUACUUUCAGCGAUUACCCUAUGCUCUAAGCCUUGUAGAAGAUGCUUAUUUGAUUUAGUUGUUGCUGUUGAGAAGAUGAACUCAUUCCUCCGCACGAAAAAGACUAGGCCAUACUCCUUCCAACAAGAUGAAAUUGCGGUAUUAGAUUUAGGGCAUAAAGCUAGAUCUUAUCUGCUGCUGCUCAUAAAUAUGAGUCGAGUAAUAGUAGAGACAAGUGGUGGCUUGAUUUGUUAUAGAAUCUUAUACUAGUGUGCAUUGACUGCAGAGAUGAAACUCAUUGAUGUUAACAAGUUAGGAAUAUUCAGCUGAAGUGUGUGUUUUUAAUGAUAUGAUCUUCUUGAUCAAAAAAAAAAGGGCAUAACAAUAUUUAAUGCCCAUUUAGUAUGGUAUUAAAGGCUCAUUUAUUUGCA